ACUAGAGUACCAGCAUGAAGUGGCCACUGAAUAAUUCUGAACCAAAGACAUGGCUGUAGAUGAUUUACCAUCUGCAAUGAACCGACAGAGCUGGGACAUGACAGAAGACAGGGAAGUUGAAGCCUGAAGCUCCUUCUGUGGGAGGAGGGACAAGUAUCCAAGAAUCCCUGAUUAGCUGGAAUGUCCAUUUUGGUGCCUGUGAGUCAGUCUGGCUGUUCUGACCGUGUUACAAAGGCUAAGGAGUACCAGAGGAGAUUAGAGCUGUAUUUUCCCAGACUUUAGACGAGAGAUCUCUGGGGCCAUGUCUGCCGAACCUUCCAGCCAAGCUCCAC